GUAGGUGGCAGAGUAUGUCUGUAGUGAAAGCGUGUGGCUCAACCAUAUACACAUUACAGAAACUGCUCAGCUAGAGGGCGAGAGAGGUUACUAGAAUUCCUAGUGUAGGAGUGAAAUCCGUAGAUAUUAGGAGGAAUACCGAUGGCGUAGGCAGGUAACUGGCUCGUCCCUGACACUAAGGCACGAAAGCGUGGGGAGCAAACGGGAUUAGAUACCCCGGUAGUCCACGCUGUAAACGAUGGAUGCUAGCUGUAAGAGGUAUCGACCCCUCUUGUAGCGAAGCUAACGCGUUAAGCAUCCCGCCUGUGGAGUACGGUCGCAAGACUAAAACAUAAAGGAAUUGACGGGGACCCGCACAAGCGGUGGAGCGUGUUGUUUAAUUCGAUGGUAAACGAAGAACCUUACCCAGGUUUGACAUCCUUGGAAUUUUGCCGAAAGGCGAGAGUGCUUUAUUGAGCCAAGUGACAGGUGUUGCAUGGCCGUCGUCAGCUCGUGUCGUGAGAUGUUUGGUUAAGUCCAUCAACGAGCGCAACCCUUAUAGUCUGUUGUAUUUUUCAGGCUAGACUGCCCCGGUAACGGGGAGGAAGGAGGGGAUGAUGUCAGGUCAGUAUUUCCCUUACACCCUGGGCUAGAAACACGAUACAAUGGUUAGUACAAUGCGCAGCGAAGCCGCGAGGUGGAGCAAAUCGCAUCAAAGCUAAUCUCAGUUCGGAUAAGAGGCUGAAACUCGCCUCUUUGAAGGCGGAAUCGCUAGUAAUCGCAGAUCAGCAAGCUGCGGUGAAUACGUUCCCGGGUCUUGUACACACCGCCCGUCAAACCAUGAAAGUCACCAACACCCGAAGUCCGAUUCGUCGGCCUAAGGUGGGGGGGAUGAUUGGGGUU
rnacentral:rRNA from 1 species